rnacentral:rRNA from 1 species
AGAGUUUGAUCCUGGCUCAGGAUGAACGCUAGCUANAGGCUUAACACAUGCAAGUCGAGGGGAAACGAUAUUGGAAGCUUGCUUCCGAUAGGCGUCGACCGGCGCACGGGUGAGUAACGCGUAUCCAACCUGCCCACCACUUGGGGAUAACCUUGCGAAAGUAAGACUAAUACCCAAUGACGUCUCUAGAAGACAUCUGAAAGAGAUUAAAGAUUUAUCGGUGAUGGAUGGGGAUGCGUCUGAUUAGCUUGUUGGCGGGGUAACGGCCACCAAGGCUACGAUCAGUAGGGGUUCUGAGAGGAAGGUCCCCCACAUUGGAACUGAGACACGGUCCAAACUCCUACGGAAGGCA